AACACGUGGAUAACCUACCUAUAAGACUGGGAUAACUUCGGGAAACCGGAGCUAAUACCGGAUAAUAUUUUGAACCGCAUGGUUCAAAAGUGAAAGACGGUCUUGCUGUCACUUAUAGAUGGAUCCGCGCUGCAUUAGCUAGUUGGUAAGGUAACGGCUUACCAAGGCAACGAUGCAUAGCCGACCUGAGAGGGUGAUCGGCCACACUGGAACUGAGACACGGUCCAGACUCCUACGGGAGGCAGCAGUAGGGAAUCUUCCGCAAUGGGCGAAAGCCUGACGGAGCAACGCCGCGUGAGUGAUGAAGGUCUUCGGAUCGUAAAACUCUGUUAUUAGGGAAGAACAUAUGUGUAAGUAACUGUGCACAUCUUGACGGUACCUAAUCAGAAAGCCACGGCUAACUACGUGCCAGCAGCCGCGGUAAUACGUAGGUGGCAAGCGUUAUCCGGAAUUAUUGGGCGUAAAGCGCGCGUAGGCGGUUUUUUAAGUCUGAUGUGAAAGCCCACGGCUCAACCGUGGAGGGUCAUUGGAAACUGGAAAACUUGAGUGCAGAAGAGGAAAGUGGAAUUCCAUGUGUAGCGGUGAAAUGCGCAGAGAUAUGGAGGAACACCAGUGGCGAAGGCGACUUUCUGGUCUGUAACUGACGCUGAUGUGCGAAAGCGUGGGGAUCAAACAGGAUUAGAUACCCUGGUAGUCCACGCCGUAAACGAUGAGUGCUAAGUGUUAGGGGGUUUCCGCCCCUUAGUGCUGCAGCUAACGCAUUAAGCACUCCGCCUGGGGAGUACGACCGCAAGGUUGAAACUCAAAGGAAUUGACGGGGACCCGCACAAGCGGUGGAGCAUGUGGUUUAAUUCGAAGCAACGCGAAGAACCUUACCAAAUCUUGACAUCCUUUGACAACUCUAGAGAUAGAGCCUUCCCCUUCGGGGGACAAAGUGACAGGUGGUGCAUGGUUGUCGUCAGCUCGUGUCGUGAGAUGUUGGGUUAAGUCCCGCAACGAGCGCAACCCUUAAGCUUAGUUGCCAUCAUUAAGUUGGGCACUCUAAGUUGACUGCCGGUGACAAACCGGAGGAAGGUGGGGAUGACGUCAAAUCAUCAUGCCCCUUAUGAUUUGGGCUACACACGUGCUACAAUGGACAAUACAAAGGGCAGCGAAACCGCGAGGUCAAGCAAAUCCCAUAAAGUUGUUCUCAGUUCGGAUUGUAGUCUGCAACUCGACUACAUGAAGCUGGAAUCGCUAGUAAUCGUAGAUCAGCAUGCUACGGUGAAUACGUUCCCGGGUCUUGUACACACCGCCCGUCACACCACGAGAGUUUGUAACACCCGAAGCCGGUGGAGUAACCUUUUAGGAGCUAGCCGUCGAAGGUGGGACAAAUGAUUGGGGUGAAGUCGUAACAAGGUAGCCGUAUCGGAAGGUGCGGCUG
rnacentral:rRNA from 1 species